UAUUUAAAUUGAACCAAGACUAAGAGGAAGAAUAAGAAGAGUACGAGAAACAAACUAAUCAAACAAACCAGCGUGUUUCACUUAAAAGUACUGAGCAAGACGAAGCCGGUGUUGGUCCGUCUGAGGGUUGGAAACUGUGUUGGCUGGCAGGCUUAGAACAAGUGGACGAAAUGUGUUGGCGCUGCUCAGCUGCAAUGAUUGGCGAAUUCUAAUAAUUAAAACUGGUGGUGUUCAUAUCCGUGCAGAGGAUGCGGGAUGAGUGACGCGGCGCUUUGAAAAAAAAAAGACUCAACUUGCAAAUAUACGAUUUGAAUGUAAAAUGCAAAAUGGCACACCGUUAUUUUUUCGAAUUAAAGUAUGCUUGUCUCUGUCAUGAAUCCUCCUUGUAUUCAUAUUCAUCGUGUGUUUCGUUAAUGUGGUUUGUAAAAUGGCUCCGCCGGGAACGCAAGCGAGCUUUAAAGAGCGGCAAGAAAUUGUGAAACUUCUUUCAGAAGGGGCAUCAUUCGUAAAGGCUCGAAGAAAAAUACUAGAAAACCCUGUUCCAUUGUGUAUAAUAUUAGGUCGCGAUAUGCCAAAAAAUUCGCUUGUCGAACAAGGAGAAAAACUUAAAUACCAUGAUGAGCACCCAAUAUUGAAUAAGUAUAAUUAUGCGAAUCCAUAUAUCAGAAAUAGAGCAAUGCAAUUGAAAUUCGCUAAGGAAUACAUAUCAAAAGAAGAGACGAUUUAACGUUAACUAAAGUGAAAUAUUUGUCUUAAUCCUAGAACCCUAGAAGCUUUUAGCACACAAAAUUUUUUAAUCGAAACAAUUUCUAAGUUCUCUAUCGUUGCACCACUUGUUACCCUGUGUACCUUUCGCUAAAAAUUAAUUAUUAAAUGGUAUUUUGUUAAAAUUUAAAUAUGUAACACUUUAUAUAUAUACAUAUGCACACAAACUAAACUGAAUAUAUUCAAUAUGUUAUCAAAAUGCUCACGUACGAUAAUCCAUGUCACUCUUUUCUAGAGUUAAUAUGUAAUACUAUCAGUUUUGUUUACCGAUCAAAGUAAGUUUCUGAUGGUAGAAGCAACGUUUGGCGAUGGAAGGAUGUUGUAUGAAAACUUAAGAUUUGUUGAAGAAAAUGUGAAAAGAUUUCCGUAUCUCGAUAAAUUAAAGCCAAAGUGCAACGAAAUAGGUUAUCGAAGGCAACUUUGCUAUUUACCAAGGCAACGAUCCAGAACAUACUUCCAAAGCUGCGAAGCUUUGACUUGACCGUCAUAUGGAUCAA